AGACAAAUGUCUCCAGCUCCAGAGCCAAGGGAAAAAUUUCCUCACCUAGUUAAUCUUUAUGUUUUCCUCUCAGGGAGGAAAUCCCGGCUGCACCAGCAAAAGAAAUGUUCCCUGGGGUCCAGUAUUGAUGGGGAGGCCAUCCUGAUGGUGAAAUGGGACAAUUGAGACGCCA
rnacentral:lncRNA from 1 species